ensembl:lncRNA
GCCUGGGGGUCCUUCUCAGGUGUGGACAUUUAAAAUCUAUCAAUAGCUAUCCUCAGUAAGGGGAACUCAGUAAGUUCCUAAAUACUUCAGCAUGUGGUACAGCUUCAGAUUUUCCUCCAUCACCUCUACCUAGAGGCAGGGUAUAGAAUACCCAGGAAGGUCUCAGGGGAUGCCUGGGAAUCAUGGCUACACAAUUUUGCUCAAAGAUGAAUGGUGACUGAUUUUAACUCCCCCAGAACUAGUGCUAAUUUAUGCAUAAUCUCCCAUCUACGGGCACAGUGGUGGCAUUCUUCACCUGGAAAUUUCUGCAGGAGAGACAUUUUAACCUUCUUGCAGUUUCUUACAGACAGGUUGAACCGCCUAGCUAAGCAAGAUGAGUCCAAAUACUUGGCGAUGUUCCUAGCCCAUGCACCCCAACCGAGGACAGCACUGAUGGCUGCCCUUGGUACCAGACUUGACCGAGGACAGUGAGGCCGCCGCGAGGGCUUCCCGCUCUGACGCCCCGCCUUCUGGCAGCCCCAGGGCAGGAAAGCGCCGGCGACGACGGGUCUCCGAAGCCCGGUGGUGGAAACCCCCGGAUUAAUGCUUUAGGAAAAGGCAAAUACUUCCGUCACGGAACCGGCCUGGGAGUACAUGUGUAAAUCACCGUGCUGACCCGAUUCCCUCUCCUCCAGCCCCCGGGGUUGAGGGUGGGGGUUCCUGGCCUGGGGAUGGGGGGCGCCCAGCCCACACGUUUGUUUUCAUCUACUUCGAGGCGGCUCUAGCGGGCCGAAGAAAUGGGUCCUGCUGACUGCUGGCUUGAGUGUUACCAAAAAAGGCCUUUCUCUUGCCUGAGAGCUUGGCCCGCACUUUGCAGUGGGGUGACGCGAGGUUCAGCCCGGGCCUCCUCGGC